AAGUCGUAACAAGGUUUCCGUAGGUGAACCUGCGGAAGGAUCAUUAUUGAAACAUUGUGAAGUUGGUUGAGCUGGCUACUCCGGUGGCAUGUGCUUACCUUCUUUCAAUACCUUCAUCCACCUGUGCACUUAUUGUAGGGUUGUAGAAGUUUGGAAAGGUGUAAAAGCCAAGUACAAGGUUCUAUGCUCUAUGUUUUUAUACACACUUAACGUAUGUUUAUGAAUGUCUUACUAGGGACUUAAUUGACCCUAUAAAAGUUAAUACAACUUUCAGCAACGGAUCUCUUGGCUCUC
rnacentral:misc_RNA from 1 species